GUUAAUAUAGUUUUAAAACAAACAUUAGACUGUGGCUCUAAAA
rnacentral:tRNA from 1 species